rnacentral:tRNA from 1 species
GCGGGAAUAGCUCAGUUGGUAGAGCGUUACCUUGCCAAGGUAAGUGUCGCGGGUUCAAGUCCCGUUUCCCGCUCCA